UACGUAGGGGGCAAGCGUUAUCCGGAAUUACUGGGUGUAAAGGGAGCGUAGACGGCAGCGCAAGUCUGGAGUGAAAUGCCGGGGCCCAACCCCGGAACUGCUCUGGAAACUGUGAAGCUGGAGUGCAGGAGAGGUAAGCGGAAUUCCUAGUGUAGCGGUGGAAUGCGUAGAUAUUAGGAGGAACAUCAGUGGCGAAGGCGACUAUCUGGACAGCAACUGACACUGAGGCACGAAAGCGUGGGGAGCAAACAGG
rnacentral:rRNA from 1 species